rnacentral:rRNA from 1 species
UCUUCCCAUAAUACCACCCUGAAUGCACCUGAUCUUGAAAGCUAAGCAAAGUCCGGCCUGGUUAGUACUUGGAUGGGAAAGC